rnacentral:ncRNA from 1 species
AAGAAGGGGUGCUACGGCUGAGAGGGUCUUUGACCCAACCCAUGAACCUGAUCCGGGUAAUGCCGGCGUAGGGAAAGGAUU